UAGUCCACGCCGUAAACGAUGAGCACUAGUUUUUGGGGGAAUUAACCCCUUCAGAGACGUAGCUAACGCAUUAAGUGCUCCGCCUGGGGAGUACGGUCGCAAGACUAAAACUCAAAGGAAUUGACGGGGGCCCGCACAAGCGGUGGAUCAUGUGGUUUAAUUCGAAGCAACGCGAAUAACCUUACCUGGGCUUGAACUCCUUCGAAUUCAGGGUAAUGCCUGAAGUGUCCGCAAGGAAAUGAAGUGAGAGGUGCUGCAUGGCUGUCGUCAGCUCGUGUUGUGAAAUGUUGGGUUAAGUCUCGCAACGAGCGCAACCCCUAUCUUUAGUUGCCAGCAUUUAGUUGGGCACUCUAGAGAGACUGCCUGGGCAACCAGGAGGAAGGUGGGGAUGACGUCAAGUCCUCAUGGCCCUUAUGUCCAGGGCUACACACGUGAUACAAUGGCGCGCACAAAGGGAAGCGAACCAGCGAUGGGGAGCAAAUCUCAAAAAGCACGUCUCAGUCCGGAUUG
rnacentral:rRNA from 1 species